rnacentral:sRNA from 1 species
GCCAGGUGUUGUGGUGCACACCUGUAAUCCCAGUGAUUUGGGAGGCUGAGGCAGGAGGAUUGCAAGUUCAAGGCCAGCCUCAG